AGGUACGCGAGCGUCCCGACAGUCUCCGCCGCCAGCUGUCGGACCGCCUGCAUCUUCAUUUCCCUUUUGCCAGCUCCUCUGAAGAGCCGGACGGCUCUCCCCUUUCCUUUCUCACCCUCGUGUCCUGUUGCCCCGCACGCCCCUUCCUAUUUCUCUUGUCCCAGUUCCUCGCGCCUUUGGGAGGCAGCGGGCGGCUCCCACACGCCGUUGCUUGAGAUUGUUUUAUCUUAGCUAUAGAAUUUUCAUUUAAAGAUUAAUUCCCAAAUAACACGGGAAGUUAUUAGAAGCAUCAUUCGUCAACUUAAAGAAAAAAGAGAUAUGCGAUUUCCAUUUCCUUAAGGUGCCAUAUAAUGUAUUGAGCUAUAAUAAGGAAUGAUUUUGUCAAAUUUUCAUGAGUUAUGGUGGCUGAAAUAUCAAUUCUGUCUUGUGGGAAAAGAACUAAAUGGCAGCACAAAAAGAAAUCUAUAUUAAUAAAAUAUUUUAUUAAACGAAAGAGGUUAUAUAGGGACUUGGAACCAGCAGACUCAGCAAACGAGGGAAGGAACGCGUUAGCUGUAAGACAUGUUUCAAAUGAAUCAAAGUUCAAUAUCUGUAGAUUCCAGAAGACAAAAGUUUUCAAAAACUUUGUCAAAACAGACAGGUCAGUGAUAAAUAACUUCUCCAGUAAUAGGGCUAGGCCUGAAAUCCAAUAUUAACAAAUUAACAAAACAGAUUGAACUAAAUUUUUUUCCUAAAAAGUUCUAAAAAUACCAGAAUUAAGUUUUUUCCAAAUUUAUAUCGCCUUUCCUAAAGCAAAGUAGAUAUCUUUCAGUCUUGAUGCCAGCUUUUCUUACAUUGAAGGGAUGACAGAAACCUUACUUGAAGCAAACUAGUAUUAUGUUGAAAAUGUGUAUCAGCAUGAAAGUCAAUUUUUAAGACCUGCUCCUCAGUAAUAAUACUGGACAUUCAGCAUUCUCACCUUUCAGGACACAAGAAUCCUCUCAGAAGUUAUUCAAAACAGGAGGACCUGACUCAGGAACGAUGUCCAUUCAGGAGAAAUCAAAAGAAAAUCCCUCCAAUGUUAUUAAAAAAAGUGAGGAUAAGAAUUUAGAAGCACAAAUUCAAGGUUCUCCAAAGAAUCUAGCAAAAAAAUCGAAUCCAAAGGAAGCUAUAAAAUCACUAGUUAAAUCUUCCAGUGAAAGUAAAAUAAAUCAGCCUGAAUUAGGCAUAUGUAUGAGUACGAGGUCAGCAACAGCAGCAUUCAAUGAUGAAAAAGCUAAUAGGUCCAUUAAUAAAAAUAUGGCGACUGUGAAGAGACUUUCACAACAAGAAUCUACAAAAAAUAAGAAAUCUCAGAAAAAAUCAGUGCAUGAGACCCCAAAAUCAAAUGAACAGCUUAACCGGAGAUCACAAAGACUACAACAGCUAACAGAGGUUUCAACAAGGUCUCUGCGUAGUAGAGAAAUUCAGGGUCAAGUUCAAGCAGUUAAACAGAGUUUGCCACCAACAAGAAAAGAGCACUGUAGCAAUACUCAAAGUAAAUCUAAUAAAGUUAAAACACCUCAAAAACAUGUAAAAAGAAAAAUACUGGAAAUAAAGUCUGAUUCUAGAGUGGAUGAAAAUCCAGUCAUUAAUAAUGAAGUAGUAACUUCUCCAAAAGGAAAAAAACGCAAAGUAGAGCAUCAGACAGCUUAUACAUGUAGUUCUCAGUACGUAAAAGGAUCUGAAAACUGUCUUCAGAAGAAUACUAGAAAAGAGGAAACAAAAUCUGUGCCUGUAACUUCUGAGAUAAAAAGAUCAAAAAUGGUUACUGGAGUGCUCUCUAAAAAGAAUGAGAUGAAGAAAUCAGUUCAUUCACAAGUGAAUACUAGUUCCAAACCUCAGAAAAGUCCACAGCCAUCAGUGCCUGAACAAAGUGUAGAUAAUGAGCAAGGAGGAAAGACCAAACGAGGUAGCAUUCUCCAGCUCUGUGAAGAAAUUGCUGGUGAAAUCGAGUCAGAUACUGUAGAGGUAAAAAAGGAAUCUUCACAAACAGAAAGUGUAAAGGAGGAAAAGCCUACAGAAAAAAAAUCAGAACAGACUGAUAUUGAAAGACAAAUACUUCAUCAGAAGGAAACCAAUCAGGAUGUUCAAUGUAAUCGUUUCUUCCCCAGUAGAAAAACAAAGCCUGUGAAAUGUAUACUAAAUGGAAUAAACAGCUCAGCUAAAAAGAACUCCAACUGGACUAAAAUUAAACUCUCAAAAUUUAACUCUGCACAGCAAAAUAAGUUAGACUCUCAAGUUUCCCCUAAAUUGGGCUUAUUACGAACUAGUUGUACACUACCAGCAUUAGAAAUGCCUCAUCCAGUUACUCAAAGUACAUUUUUAGGGACAAAACCACGUGAUGAUAAAAACAUAGCUUGCCAGCAGGAAGAAAUGAAAGAAGUUAAUUCUGAAGAAGUUAAAAUUAGUGAUAUUACAGUUGAAAUUAAUAAAACCACAAAAAGGGCUCCUGAAAAUUGUCAUUUGGAUAAUGAGAUAAAACCACCUCCUGACUCACCAUUGGAUAACCAGAUGAAAGAUUAUUUUGAAUCAACACCAGAUAAGAAUUUCAGCCUAUGUUUGGAAUCUAAGCUGGAAAACAAUCCAGUGGAAAAUAACAUUACUGUUUCAACUCUGCUCACUCAAGCAAAACUUGAUACAGGGGAGAGUACAUUUCCAGAUUCACCUCCCAAACAGCACAGUAUACUCAAUAAUCAAACAUCUAAGACCAGUGAUAACAGAGAAACACCACCAAAUCAUUCUUGGCCUAAGUGUAAUUCCCAUUUGGAGAUAACAAUCCCAAAAGACUUGAAAUUAAAAGAAGCAGAGAAAGCUGAUGAAAAACAGUUGAUCAUAGAUGCUGGACAAAAAAGAUUUGGAGCAGUUUCCUGUAAUGUUUGUGGCAUGCUUUAUACAGCUUCGAAUCCAGAAGAUGAGACACAGCAUCUGCUCUUUCACAACCAGUUUAUAAGUGCUGUAAAAUAUGUGGUUCUGCUCAUUAAUCACCACGAGUGUGGAUCUGAAGAAGAGUUUAUUACCUCUCUUUUUUUGAGUAUGUUUAACUUCAGAUACACACAACGUAGCCUCUCCUUCCCUAUUAGAUUCUUAGAAGGGCUGGAAAAAAGAAAGAAUUCUGGCUGAAUAUCCCGAUGGCAGGAUAAUUAUGGUUCUUCCUGAAGACCCAAAGUAUGCCCUGAAAAAGGUUGAUGAAAUUAGAGAGAUGGUUGAUAAUGAUUUAGGUUUCCAACAGGCUCCACUAAUGUGCUAUUCCAGAACUAAAACACUUCUCUUUAUUUCCAAUGACAAAAAAGUAGUUGGCUGCCUAAUUGCAGAACAUAUCCAAUGGGGCUACAGAGUCAUUGAAGAGAAACUUCCAAUUAUCAGGUCAGAAGAAGAAAAAGUAAGAUUUGAAAGGCAAAAAGCCUGGUGCUGUUCAACAUUGCCAGAGCCUGCAAUCUGUGGGAUCAGUCGAAUAUGGGUAUUCAGCAUGAUGCGUCGGAAGAAAAUUGCUUCUCGCAUGAUUGAAUGCCUAAGGAGUAACUUUAUAUAUGGCUCAUAUUUGAGUAAAGAAGAAAUUGCUUUCUCAGAUCCCACUCCUGAUGGAAAAUUGUUUGCAACACAAUACUGUGGCACUGGACAGUUUCUGGUAUAUAAUUUUAUUAAUGGACAAAAUAGCACCUAAAGCAAAUUCUUGCCUGCAAUAGUAGAAGACAUCUACUGAAGAAUGGAUUGGUUGCUGACUUUAACCAGGAACUAGGGCCAUUUUUGUUACAAAGAACUCAGGACUGGCAACAACCAUAAGGUUGUUCCAUUUUCAUAAAAUUGGAAACAAUGCAGUAAUAGCUUAUUAUUGUUUUGUUUUUUAAAGAAGAUAUUUUAUUAUCUUUUACAGAAAUUUAUGAUUAAUGUAUUUUAUCUAUAGUUAUUUAGACAUGUUUACAUGCAGCAGAUAAUUGUUCAUAGUGGACUGAAAACUAAUGCAAGGACUAUGGUCUCAGUGAUAAGUAUAUUUUGAAGUUCUUAAUAUGGAAAUAUACCAGUGUAGUUAGGUACUGUAUUUUUUUUAUAUUGAUCUGCUGAUACCAGUUACAGUUUUAAAGAUUGUAUUUUUACUAAGUGGAAACCAGUGUUUUAGAGCUAUGACUUGAGAGGGUGCGAUAUUAUGUGUUUAGAAAUUCAAAGUUGAUUUCUGAAGGGCCUGAAAUAUACUUAAAAAAAAAUUCUCACCUGAGGAUUUAAAACAUUGAUUGGCUGCCUUCUGUACAUGCCCUGGCCACGUUGAACCUGCAGCAUUUGUGUGUACAGGAUGAUGCUCCAACCAGCUGGGCCACCUGGGCAGUGCUGAAAUAUACUUGGAUGGAGCCCCACGAAAAAGCAAAGUUCCAGAUAAACUGGAGGAAUUUGGAAAGUUGAGCUUUUCCUUCCAUCUUUUUCUUUUCUGUUUUUGCUAGCAGGAAGAAGUGGAAGGUGGUAAAGAAUUUAGUCUUUCCUUCUUGAAGAUCUCUAAAUGACUAGAAUUAGGAAGGUACCCUCUAAAGUUUAUUAUUCUUUCAUUGUCGUUUCACUUCUUAAAUGGCAACUGGGCAGACUUAAGCUAUUAAAAAAAAUCCCAAAGAGGUUU